GAUGAACGCUGGCGGCGUGCUUAACACAUGCCAGUCGAACGAUGAUGCCCAGCUUGCUGGGUGGAUUAGUGGCGAACGGGUGAGUAACACGUGAGUAACCUGCCCUUGACUCUGGGAUAAGCCUGGGAAACUGGGUCUAAUACCGGAUACGACCAUCUGGCGCAUGUCAUGGUGGUGGAAAGCUUUUGUGGUUUUGGAUGGACUCGCGGCCUAUCAGCUUGUUGGUGGGGUAAUGGCCUACCAAGGCGACGACGGGUAGCCGGCCUGAGAGGGUGACCGGCCACACUGGGACUGAGACACGGCCCAGACUCCUACGGGAGGCAGCAGUGGGGAAUAUUGCACAAUGGGCGCAAGCCUGAUGCAGCGACGCCGCGUGAGGGAUGACGGCCUUCGGGUUGUAAACCUCUUUCAGUAGGGAAGAAGCGAAAGUGACGGUACCUGCAGAAGAAGCGCCGGCUAACUACGUG
rnacentral:rRNA from 1 species